rnacentral:rRNA from 1 species
UACGUAGGGGGCGAGCGUUGUCCGGAAUUAUUGGGCGUAAAGAGCGUGUAGGCGGUUCGGUAAGUCUGCCGUGAAAACUUGGGGCUCAACCCCAAGCCUGCGGUCGAUACGGGCAGGCUCGAGUUCGGUAGGGGAGACUGGAAUUCCUGGUGUAGCGGUGAAAUGCGCAGAUAUCAGGAGGAACACCGAUGGCGAAGGCAGGUCUCUGGGCCGAUACUGACGCUGAGGAGCGAAAGCGUGGGGAGCGAACAGG